AUUGAACGCUGGCGGAAUGCUUUACACAUGCAAGUCGAGCGGCAGCGCGGGGGCAACCCUGGCGGCGAGCGGCGAACGGGUGAGUAAUACAUCGGAACGUGUCCUUAAGUGGGGGAUAGCUCGGCGAAAGCCGGAUUAAUACCGCAUAAGCUCUGAGGAGGAAAGCGGGGGCUCCGUAAGGACCUCGCGCUGUUGGAGCGGCCGAUGUCGGAUUAGCUAGUUGGUGGGGUAAAGGCCCACCAAGGCGACGAUCCGUAGCUGGUCUGAGAGGAUGAUCAGCCACACUGGAACUGAGACACGGUCCAGACUCCUACGGGAGGCAGCAGUGGGGUAAUUUUGGACAAGUGGGGGCAACCCUGAUCCAGCCAUUCCGCGUGAGUGAAGAAGGCC
rnacentral:rRNA from 1 species